GGGCCAUAGUUCAAUGGUAGAGCAUGUGCUUUGCCUGUAGAAGGCCUCUGGGUUUAAUCCCCAGUGGCAUCU